UACGUAGGGUCCGAGCGUUGUCCGGAGUUACUGGGCGUAAAGCGCGCGCAGGCGGCCUGCCAAGUCCGGCGUGAAAGCCCCCGGCUCAACCGGGGAGGGUCGUCGGAGACUGGUGGGCUUGAGGGCGGGAGGGGUCGGUGGAAUGCCCGGUGUAGUGGUGAAAUGCGUAGAGAUCGGGCGGAACACCCGUGGCGAAGGCGGCCGACUGGGCCGACCCUGACGCUGAGGCGCGAAGGCGUGGGGAGCGAACGGG
rnacentral:rRNA from 1 species